rnacentral:rRNA from 1 species
AGGAAUUCGGCAAAGAUAAAUUUUACCUGUUUAUUAAAAACAUGUCUUUUUGAGAUUAAUUUAAAGUCUGACCUGCUCUAUGAAUUUUAAAUGGCUGCGGUAUUUUGACCGUACAAAGGUAGCAUAAUCAUUAGUUUUUUAAAUGGAAGCUAGUAUGAAGGGUUUGAUAAAAAUUUAACUGUCUUGGGUAAAAUAAUUAGAAUUUUAUUUUUAAGUAAAAAAGCUUAAAUAUUAUUAAAAGACGAGAAGACCCUAUAGAGUUUUAUAUUAAUUAAAAUUAAAUUUUUAUAAUAUUUUUAUUUUAAGAUAUAUUUGAUUGGGGUGAUUUUAAAAUUAAAUAAACUUUUAAAUUUUUUAAUCAUUAAUGAAUGUAUUUUUGAUCCAAUAAAUUGAUUAUUAGAUUAAAUUACCUUAGGGAUAACAGCGUUAUUUUUUUAGAGAGUUCUUAUCGAAAAAAAAGUUUGCGACCUCGAUGUUGGAUUAAAGUUAAAUUAGGUGUAGAAGCUUAAUAAAUUAAGUCUGUUCGACUUUUGAAACUUUACAUGAUCUGAGUUUAAACCGGUGUGAGCCAGGUUGGAUUCUAUCUUUAAUCUAAAUUAAUAUUUUAGUACGAAAGGACCAAAUGUU